rnacentral:lncRNA from 1 species
CAACUAUGCGCGGGGGCACUACACCAUCGGCAAGGAGAUCAUCGACCUGGUCCUCGACCGCAUCCGCAAGCUGGCUGACCAGUGCACAGGCCUGCAGGGCUUCCUGGUCUUCCACAGCUUCGGUGGGGGCACCGGCUCUGGCUUCACCUCCCUGCUCAUGGAGCGCCUCUCUGUCGACUAUGGCAAGAAGUCCAAGCUGGAGUUC